CUAAUACAUGUAAACAAAUCUUUAUUUACGAGGGUAACAGAUAAGCAUUUUUACAUCCAGCCCUCGGACUAAUUAGUAGAAAUAAAAACAUUACAUAAAUUCAGAGCAAAGUAAUAAAUACAGAGCAAUUAUGAUAUGAACAAACAAGAUGUAAAUAUAUGAAUUGAUAGGAUUUGUUUUAAUCUUGGCUAGGACACUAUAGCAACAGGUUGUCGGUGUGAUUAAGCUGGUUCGGACGCCUCUGUAAGUAAUCAAAGGGUUUGAAAAGAUGUUGUAGGAGUUCCACUUUGAGUUUGUAUAGGCUGGAUGCCGUUCUUUGGAGAUCGGAGGUUGUUCUAAAGAACGCUGACAAAAUACAGUAUUAGGUGAUGGUGGCAUUACAAUUUUAUGCUACAGGCACAAUGAGAGUUGUAGUGGCUGACACAUUUGGCAUUGACAUGGGAUGAAUAUGGGAGACAGUGGCUACCCGCUGAGGGACUGGCUUAGUAUCCCCUUUUUUAAAAUGCAGACACUAGAGCCAAGAAAAAGUUCAACUGUGCCCACAGCUCAACAAGGAACACCAUUGAGAGAACCAAUGGUGUUAUCAAAAAUUGGUUCCAUUUUCUUCAGGCACAACUAAGUUUCUUCAGGUGACCCAGUUGACGGAUGGAAUUCUAGCUGCUUGGUACAUCUCCUGGUGUGUUUUAAGCUUUUGGGAACAUAACUGUCUGACAGUCAAAAAGAUUUUUUCAGAAAUGUGCAACUGUCUAGGCCUGAGCAGCUUUGAUGGCUUUGAAUAUUGCUGUCUGGCUCUCAGUGGUGUUGAUGCUGCACGAAAGAAAUAUUUUUUAGAACAAUUGUUUCAUGACAAUUCCACUUGGGACCACUGAGUACUUACCAUUGCAUUAGGUUAUGUAAAGGUAUUGCUUGAAUUACUCUUCUGUGUAAGGUUUCUAUAUAAAUAGAUUAUUAUGUUGCUUUUAAUUCUUUGUGAUGCCCAGUAAGUAGUAAAAAGCAGUAAUGUUGAUAUUUACUACAUGCUGCUGGUGGGAUUGUGAAGGACAUGUUUUUCUCUUUAGAGUUAAUAUUUAACACUUUUCACUGGACCCAGGUAAGCCAUGUCAGAACUUCAUAACAUUUUAUAUGCAACUGUUAAAGAAUGUAGACACCCCACGUCCAUGUCAUUCAGAAGCUGAGUGUCUACUGGAAUCUAAACUGUAG